UUUUCCACCGUACUGAAACCUAGCAGAGGGCCUGUCUGGUGCCAGCAGCUGCGGUAAUUCCAGCUCUGCGAGUUUGCUCCCAUAUUGUUGCAGUUAAAACGCCCGUAGUCUGAAUUGGCCAGCAAUGGUCGUAUGUAUUUUUACGUUCACUGUGAACAAAUCAGGACGCUUAGAGUAUGGCCACAUGAAUGACUCAGCGCAGUAUGAAGUCUUUGUUUUCUUCCGAAAACAAGCUCAAUGAGAGCCAUCGGGGGUAGAUCUAUCUCAUGACGAGUGGUGGAAUACUUUGACUCAUGAGAGAGAAGCUGAGGCGAAGGCGUCUACCUAGAGGGUUUCUGUCGAUCAAGGGCGAGAGUAGGAGUAUCCAACAGGAUUAGAGACCCUGGUAGUUCCUACCUUAAACGAUGCCGACAGGAGUUUGUCAUUUGUUAAUGGCAGAAUCUUUGGAGAAAUCAUAGUUCUUGGGCUCUGGGGGAACUACGACCGCAAGGCUGAAACUUGAAGGAAUUGACGGAAGGGCACACCAGGGGUGGAGCCUGUGGCUUAAUUUGAAUCAACACGGGGAAACUUACCAGGACCAGAUGUUUUUUAUGACUGACAGGCUUCGGGUCUUUCAGGAUAUUGUUUUUGGUGGUGCAUGGCCGUUGGUGGUGCGUGGGUUGACCUGUCUAGCGUUGAUUCAGCUAACGAGCGAGAUUAUCGCCAAUUAUUUACUUUGCCGAAGUCCUUCGGUUAAAGUUCUAAUUGGGACUCCCUGCGAUUUUAGCAGGUGGAAGAGGGUAGCAAUAACAGGUCCGUGAUGCCCUUUAGAUGCUCUGGGCUGCACGCGUGCUACAAUGUUAGGAUCAAUAGGACUGCGAGCCUGAGAGGGUGCGCUACUCUUAUAAUCCCUAACGUAGUUGGGGAUUGACGUUUGUA
rnacentral:ncRNA from 2 species